AGAAUAUAAUAUAAGUAGGGUUGCUAAUCUUAAUUUUUUGAUUUAAUAAUCAAUAUAUUUUU
rnacentral:tRNA from 1 species